GUCUCGGUGGCGCAACUGGUUAGCGCGUCUGACUGUUAAUCAGGAGGUUGUGAGUUCAAGCCUCACCUGGGACG
rfam:Aspergillus oryzae RIB40 DNA, chromosome 7.